UGCAAGUCGAACGGACUUAACCGUUAGUUUACUAAUGGAGCGGUUAGUGGCGGACUGGUGAGUAACACGUAAGCAACCUGCCUAUCAGAGGGGAACAACAGUUAGAAAUGACUGCUAAUACCGCAUAUGCCUUAGCAACACAUGUUGCAAAAGGGAAAGGAGCAAUCCGCUGAUAGAUGGGCUUGCGUCUGAUUAGAUAGUUGGUGGGGUAACGGCUUACCAAGUCAACGAUCAGUAGCCGGACUGAGAGGUUGAACGGCCACAUUGGGACUGAGAUACGGCCCAGACUCCUACGGGAGGCAGCAGUCGGGAAUAUUGCGCAAUGGAGGAAACUCUGACGCAGUGACGCCGCGUGCAGGAAGAAGGUUUUCGGAUUGUAAACUGCUUUAGACAGGGAAGAAUAAAGACAGUACCUGUAGAAUAAGCUCCGGCUAACUACGUGCCAGCAGCCGCGGUAAUACGUAGGGAGCAAGCGUUAUCCGGAUUUAUUGGGUUUUAAAG
rnacentral:rRNA from 1 species